AAGAUUUACUAAUUUCACAUCUUGGGUAUACUAUGCAUUCGUUAGCCAAGCAAACUGCUUGAGGUUAGACAGAGAACUUCUUGGUCCCAACUAUCAGUACCUUCCAAAGAUUAUUUCAGUUUUUGCAGAGGUUCUAUGUUCUAACAAGGUUCUUGCUACAAAGAAAACUGCAAAUCGCAUGAUUAAUGUACUGAGGCAUCUUUAGGAAACGCUUCCACCAGCCGUGUGGGAAUCAGCAUGGUCGUAUCUUUUGUCUCGGCAAGAGACGGAAUUGAAAUCCAUUCUCUAUCACCCAAGAAAGAUGCUAACUUUUAACCAAUUCAACAAUACCAAUACUACUGUUCUAUGCAUUGAAAAGGAUCUUGCUACAGAAGAAACUGCAAAUCGUGUGAUUAGUGUAUUGAGCCAUCUUCAGCAAACAUUUCCACCAGCCAUUAUGGAAUCAGCAUUGACAUAUCUUUUGCCUCGACAGGAGAUGGAAUUGAAAUCCCUUGUAUCACCUGAAGAAGAUGCUAACUUUUAACCAAUUCAUUGAAACCGCUGCUACUGUAUUAUUGUUCGAUCAAACAUUCUGAUGUCAAUAUUCCUCCAAUAUAUUUUCUGCAUAAUUCUUUUUCUGAGUCCUUUGGUAGGUUAUUCCAGCUUUGGUUGAAUUGCCUGCCUAUAAAAGCUGACUUGAUUGAAGCCUAACAUGUUCCUGAGUUGUGUUCAAUGGUCAAGAGGUACUGGGAUUCGUUUGCUCUAACUCCCGAGUAGGGGUGGCAAUAUCAGCUCAAGAAAAUAUGACGGGAUCAAUGCAAAUCAAGCAUACUGUCAUGGGCGGCUUUCCAGCCGUGCCCCAUGACCCCUUGGGCACGCCCCGUGGCGUCCUAGCAAGCCUUUCAAUGCCUAGCGCCACAGACGGCCCCGUGGUCUUGGUCGCGCCAAGUGACAAGCGUGCAUGUGCCUCUGUCGCCUCACCGAUAUCCCUCGCCAACGCCCAACCGCAGACGGAUGCCAACAGCGCCGCGCACGCAGACAAUACCGCGCGCGCAAACCCUGAUGCCAAAGACUAUGCUGCUGACAACGGACCUAUUUCUGCCUUAUAGAAAACUAAGUCUUUUUCUUUGUAAAUAUAGAGUAGUUUUAUUCCACGUACUUCCAUUAUGUUUCUCUAGCUUAAUCAAGUCUAGUC